AGAGUUUGAUCCUGGCUCAGGACGAACGCUGGCGGCGCGCCUAACACAUGCAAGUCGAACGAGAGAGAGGGAGCUUGCUUCCUCAAUCGAGUGGCGAACGGGUGAGUAACGCGUGAGGAACCUGCCUCAAAGAGGGGGACAACAGUUGGAAACGACUGCUAAUACCGCAUAAGCCCACGGCUCGGCAUCGAGCAGAGGGAAAAGGAGCAAUCCGCUUUGAGAUGGCCUCGCGUCCGAUUAGCUAGUUGGUGAGGUAAUGGCCCACCAAGGCGACGAUCGGUAGCCGGACUGAGAGGUUGAACGGCCACAUUGGGACUGAGACACGGCCCAGACCCCUACGGGAGGCAGCAGUGGGGAAUAUUGCACAAUGGGGGAAACCCUGAUGCAGCGACGCCGCGUGGAGGAAGAAGGUCUUCGGAUUGUAAACUCCUGUUGUUGAGGAAGAUAAUGACGGUACUCAACAAGGAAGUGACGGCUAACUACGUGCCAGCAGCCGCGGUAAAACGUAGGUCACAAGCGUUGUCCGGAAUUACUGGGUGUAAAGGGAGCGCAGGCGGGCGAUCAAGUUGGAAGUGAAAUCCAUGGGCUCAACCCAUGAACUGCUUUCAAAACUGAUUGUCUUGAGUAGUGCAGAGGUAGGCGGAAUUCCCGGUGUGGCGGUGGAAUGCGUAGAUAUCGGGAGGAACACCAGUGGCGAAGGCGGCCUACUGGGCACCAACUGACGCUGAGGCUCGAAAGUGUGGGUAGCAAACAGGAUUAGAUACCCUGGUAGUCCACACCGUAAACGAUGAUUACUAGGUGUUGGAGGAUUGACCCUUUCAGUGCCGCAGUUAACACAAUAAGUAAUCCACCUGGGGAGUACAACCGCAAGGUUGAAACUCAAAGGAAUUGACGGGGGCCCGCACAAGCAGUGGAGUAUGUGGUUUAAUUCGAUGAUACGCGAGGAACCUUACCCGGGCUUGAAUUGCAGAGGAAGGAUUUGGAGACAAUGACGCCCUUCGGGGUCUCUGUGAAGGUGCUGCAUGGUUGUCGUCAGCUCGUGCCGUGAGGUGUCGGCUUAAGUGCCAUAACGAGCGCAACCCCUCUCCUUAGUUGCCAUCAGGUUAAGCUGGGCACUCUGGGGACACUGCCACCGUAAGGUGUGAGGAAGGUGGGGAUGACGUCAAAUCAGCACGGCCCUUACGUCCGGGGCUACACACGUGUUACAAUGGCAGGUACAGGGAGACGGUUGUACGUAAGUACGAUCAAAUCCUCAAAGCCUGUCUCAGUUCGGACUGGGGUCUGCAACCCGACCCCACGAAGCUGGAUUCGCUAGUAAUCGCGCAUCAGCCAUGGCGCGGUGAAUACGUUCCCGGGCCUUGUACACACCGCCCGUCAAGCCAUGAAAGCCGGGGGCGCCUAAAGUCCGUGACCGUAAGGAGCGGCCUAGGGCGAAACUGGUAAUUGGGGCUAAGUCGUAACAAGGU
rnacentral:rRNA from 1 species